GUUCAACUGAAGAGGCCCACAUAGGAUGAAAUGCGCAUCCUAGAC
rfam:Schistosoma rodhaini strain Burundi genome assembly, scaffold: SROB_scaffold0000215